AAAAAAUAAACAUAUUCCAAGAAAAUGUAGAUAAUUUGAAUGCUAAUAUAAAAAAUCAUUUACAGCUAAACUAUUGAUUGAAGUUGUAAGUUAAACCACCUUAGCAUAGAUAGCCGACUUGGAACAUGUCUUCUGUUUAGUGAAGAUUAUCACCUUUACACAUGAAAAGUGGAAAUUUUUGACAAAUUUCCUGGGAACUCAAGUCUGUUCCUCACCACUGUUUCCUCAAUACUAGUAAGAAAAUCAAACUAGUUUGUAAUGAGAACAUCCACACGUACUGUGAAAAAAGUUACCAUUUAAGAAUUUAAUCCAAGAUCGCAGUUUCUGGCCUUAGGUAUUAGUUAUAUUUGUGUUACUACCUUGUUUUGUUGGCAAAAUAUUCAAAUUAAUAUUCAUUAUUUUCUUUUUCUAUUCUAUUAUUUCUUGUUUCCUUACAUCUGCUCCUUCCCUCCUUUCUCUUUUUUAUCUUUUUUCUUCAUUAUUUUUCAAUAAGGCAAGGGAAAGAGUGAACAUAGUUUAGUCCUAGUUUGAAAUGCCAAAAUCUGGCUAUUUAAUUUGAAGAGUUCCAUCGAUGGUUCCCAAAGUCACAUGACUCCAGAUUAAUGAUAACAUAGCAAAUCACAAAUAUUCUGUCAAUUCAUUUGGAAAUGUGCUCUUCUUGCACUUUUCAGAUGGCUCCAAUUUAAGAUAUUUGCAGGCAUGGCAAGAUACCUGGAAUGACUACUUUUAAGAAUAAAUUUUACACUAAGAAAAAGGAACUAGGAACAUCAAAGCAACAGAUUUAAAUACUAGAACCAGGCACAGUUAAUUAAUUAAUUUUCAAAGAGAAUAAAAUGUUGCAAAAGUAUAAACUGUACCAUAUUAACAGUUUUAUUUAUGCAUAAGUUUCUACAAACCCUUUGAGAUUCUCCACUAUUGCAAAUAAAUAUGUGAGAAUAAAAUUAAAGUAGUUGGAUAGACAUUAGUCAUGUGCCUAAAAAUAAUUGUCUAACAUCUAUAUCCUCAUAAACUUUAUAUCCAUUGAUAUUGCAGCUGUACAUUAUAAUUAUUAAUUUCAAUUCAAUGUAAUGCCUUUCUAUGACUAACCAUAUAUAUUUCCAUGAAUAUAUGUAGCAUGUAUAUGACAUACAAAAAUAGAUGGAUUAUCAAGGAGUUAUUACACACACAUUUUUCCCAAGUUUUUUUACAUUUUAAUAUUUUCAAGGAUUUCAAAUUAUACUCUUAUUUUAAUGUUUUAGGAAUGUUAGAUUGGGGACAGAAAAUUUGAUGCAGUAAAAUUUUUGAAUGUGACAAUAAUACAGUACUUUUCUUUUCUUCCUCCGGUUUUAGCAGACCAUGGCUUACUAGCACAGGUCAAAUACUUCUGGUGUUAAUUGUACUAGCAUUAUAAAAACUGUACUAGUAUUAAAAGAACAACAUUUAACUCCAAGUUUGAGAGAUUUAGACUAUUUCCUAAAAUAAUUUCUGAAGAUUAAAAUAGAAAUAUUUUAUAGAAAGUUGAUGUAAUGCAAAUAUAAAAUAAUUUGAUUUUUUAGAGAUCUAAACAAAAUGUUAUGAUAUAUUGCACAAUGCUAAGUAUGUCAGAUCCAUUUUUAUUAGAUGUUAGUAGAGUCAUUUUAUACAAGAAAGUAAUAGUCAAGUAAUAGUCAUAGAGAUAUGUUGAAUGGAAAUCUUCCACUGAGGUUUUUUUUUUUUUUUUUUUUUGGCAUCUUUAUUAGUAAUCAUGAAGAAAUAUUGUACAUUUCUAUUAUAAAAUAAACAUGUAUAUACUUUAAAAUUUCAUGUUUCUAAAAGUAGAAGUUAUGAACCAUUGUUUUGAAGGAUAUUUUUCAUUUUUGUUGUUUUUAAUUUUAGUUUAACAUAUGCACAGAUGACAUUGUGGCUUUAUUUUGAAGACUCAUUUAUACCUGGUCCACAUUGACAAACUUAUUUGCGAUUUGUAUAUUUAAAUAAUUUUUUCAAGAUAUUAACAUACAAGUUCAAUUCUUUCUUGAUUGUAAUACUUCAAUAUUUAAUCAUAUUUAUAUUCAUAUAUAUUUAUGCGAGCAGCAAAAUUCUGUGGUUUUUGGUGUUCUGGAGUGUACAUAUUUUAGAUUUUUACUGACAAAUUAAUUUCUACUACUAGUGAUCAUUUCUAGCAUUCUCAACUAACACACUUUUCAAAAAUCUUAUUGUAUACUUCAUUAAAAACAAUACAUAAUAAUGGAUAUUGAAACCAAAAUUUCUGCAUAUUUUCAAUUUAGUACCUGCCUAUUGAAACAAAAUCUGAAGGGUGUCAGUAAUCCUAGGUUAACUGAUUAGCAAAUUUCUUUUAGGAUACUAUAAUACUCUGACUAGCAUGUUUCAUGCAUGAAAAGUUCAUCGGUGAUAUGCAGACUACAGUUUUAAAUAUUAAAUUUAAAAAUUGAUAUAUAAAAAUGAAAACUUGACCAAUAAAUAUAUCUCACCUGUAAUAAUAUAUUUACAUAAAUUAUCCACACAAAAAAUAUGCCUUUUAACUUUAUAAACAUAGAAUAUUUUUUGCUAUAUUAACAUCCAAAGUCAAAAGGGUGUAUCACUCUGAAAAUUCUAAUAAUAGUGAAAGACUUAUAGCUAUCAAAUUUAUUUAAAUCCUCUGUUUUAAUAUCUACUUUAAAUUUUCACUUCAAAAUAUAAAGUUAAUGGUAUAUAUUUUUUUUUAUAUAGCUGAAAUCUGCCCUUGCUAAAGUUUCAUAAGAUAUACAAUACACAUAAUAGGGUUCCUUCACAGUUUUAUUUUUGUUUAGCAUUUAGGUACCAUAUAUUAAAAUAUGAAGCUAUAAAUUUCCACUAGUUAAGUUAUAAUUAUGUUUUUUCAAACAAUAUACCUCAAUUAUAUAAUCAUCCCAAUUUUUUAAAGCUAGUGACCAUGAGCAUAUAUAUGGGUGCAUCCAAAUGAGAAUAUUGAGAUCCAGAAAUUACUAAUUUUAGAGAAUAUUCAAAAUCAUUCACCAGACUGUCAUUUAAACCCAUUCAAUCAGUAUAAUGAUAUAUUUGUUACCCAAUUAUGAUGAAAGAUCCCUAAUUCUUAGAUGAAAAUGUAGUAUUUCACUGGAAAUUCGUUUUUUGAAUGUUAAACCAUAAUUAUUGAGUAUCCAGAUUAUAAAUUUUAAAUAUCCUCUCCAAGAUUUUAUAUAUAUAAUUUAUAUAUAUAUACAGAAAAUUAAAGAGGGUCUUUCUAUAAAAGUAAGCAUUUUAGGAAAUCACUAAUUUCAUAUGGCUUUCACUAUGUUUGACUUGUAAUUUAACAACAAAUUUCAUCUUCCUUUAAGAAUUUUUACCCCAGAGAAGGUAUUUGUUUGCAUAGCAUGUACUUGAGUCAUCCGUUGUCCUAUUAUUGGUUUUGGCCUAGUCUCUUCAUUUAGAAGCUCUGUGCCCAAGGUCAGACACAUGGAAAAUGGUCUCUAUCAUUGCCUUUAAUUCUCACAACUGAAUCAUUCUACCACUGUCCCCUACCUCUCUGUUAUUUUUUGAAAGAAAAAAAAAAGAAGGUGAUAUAUCUCUUUAUUUUGCUAACAAAAGAAUUUUAAGAAUAUCCUAAGGCAAAUUCAUGACAUCCCCCACAUUAUUAAAAUAAAAAUAUGACUCAAUUUCUAACAUGGCAAUCAAGAACUAUGUAAGCAGGACUUAGUGUGAAUAAGGGGAUGGGGAUUUUAAAUUGUUACUAUGAAUUUGUGAUUCAUUAGUAAUUUUAAAUACACAACAUCUAAAACAUAAAGGUGGCAAUUUCUUUUUUAGUAUAUUUUAAAUUACACACUUUUGUUGACAGGGUAGGUAAUAUAGUUUACAAAAUGCCACUAUUGCCUGCUUACAAACAUUAAGAAACUUGGUUGCCGACUGAUGACUCAUGUGGUAACUCCUGAACAAUCUGUUUUAUUUGAUCAGAUCAGCUUUAUUUCCUUUAAAAAAAAUUUUGAAUUCAAAUGAUUUUAGGCUAGAUGAAUAGCUUCCAUAUUUCCAUAUUGUCUUAACCUAGAAACUUCAAAUAAUUUUACAUUACCAGCUAGACCAUAAGUGUAUUUUAACUUUCAAUCAUGAUUAAAUAAAAUUUGUUCCUCUAAUAUUAAAAUGUAUCUAUCAUAAUCAUGGAUUUUUAGAUAUUGUUCUUGGGGAGCUCAGAGUUUAUCAAAGCUUUAUAUGUGAUAUACGAGGUAGUAAAUACUAUGUAGGUUUAUAUUAAGGAAAUAAAACAAAUAUAAUAAACACGAGAAUGAAUAAUUUUACAUGAAAAGGGGGAGCUGGUAUGCUGUAUAUUAAUAUUGUAUUUGAAAUAUAAAUAUAUGUGUUAAAGUUAACCAUUUACAGUGACUUGGAGUCUCCCAGAGAUGAAAUUACUCCUGUUUAGGUGAUUUUGUAAAAUGCACUAUCUCUCACAGCCCCUGGACAUCAUAAGGGAAGUGGCAGCAGUAAUUUAAGAGAUGUCUGCAGACCAAGGUGAAUUUAGUGAAUAUCAAAAACUUCUUGA
rnacentral:lncRNA from 1 species